GGGCCACUGGAUUAAGCAUGGAGAUCGAGUGUAUGAAGAUCAGUGUAAAAUACUAAUACAACAAAAUAUAUCUGUGCUAAUCCCUGCUCCUCCGCUGCUGUGAUCAGGCCCAGACUGAGUGGAUAUGACAGGUGGGCACAGUGUGUUUACCCACCACGACGUGUGUGUGUGUGUGUGUGUGUGUGUGUGUGUGUGUGUGUGUGUGUGUGUGUGUGUGUGAGAGAGAGAUUAUAGGCAAGGGGGUGGGGUUAAUACUGAGCUGAUAACAUAGGUAUCACUGAACCCUGACUCCUAAAGAAAUCUGUUCAUCUGUUCAUAUACUAAAAUGCCUAAAUCAUUUCUCUCUGCCAGAGUACCUUACACAGGCAAUGGACACGUUAUGAAUAUGUAUAAAUAUUUAUUGCUCUCGUAAAAAGAAAAUGUUUCACUUAACAUUUGUUUUUUUAAUUUAAGCUAUUUUUUCUGAAAGUUUGUUUUGUUGGAUGUUUUCUUUUCUUCUGUGUGUCAAUAGUCUGUUUUUCUUAUUUUCUAUUUCAUCGUUUGUCUUUCUUUUUAUUUUUUAUGAUUUUGUUUGCCUUUGUUUGCCUCUUCUUUUUUCAUGCAUUGAUUUCUAUUUGCUCUUUUCUUUUUUUGCUUAUUUGUAUUUAGGCUUCUGCUAGUUUAAUACAUUUGCUUGUUUCUGUCAUGCUUUGUCUUACUCUACAUAGCUUCUAUUGAACUUGAUGCUUUAUCUUUCUUUCUUUCUUUCUUUCUUUCUUUCUUUCUUUCUUUCUUUCUUUCUUUCUUUCUUUCUUUUUAAUAAACAGCUGGCCCACCUGUUCAAAGUGAUCAAAGAAGCAGCAGGUAUCAUUGCAUGUGCCUCUGCUGCCCCGUGUGGUGUCACGGUAGUGCACAAUCUUUCAUAUACUUGAGUGUGGUGAAAAGGAGGAGGAGAGAGGGGGGAGAAGAAAAGCAAAAGGGAAAUCAGGAGGCAGUCUUACCAGAGAUUUGCUUUUGAGCUGCUGGAGUCUGGAUGUGUUGCACGGUCACUAAUGCUGUGUCUCUGUUUGUGUGUACAGGUACUUAAGUGAUGAAUCAGCUGCUCUGAAACUAACCUGCAAACUGACCUGGUUUGAACACUGGCUGGGAUCUUUUUAUGUGGAGAUUUGCAAUAUAAAUACACCUGGUCAGGCUCAGGCAAUCAAUACCAGCCGUGGCCCUGAAGGAGAACCCUGACAGCCGCUACUCCGGAUCCAUGCCAUUCCGGCUACUGCCCCACCAUCAGUCAACCUCAUACCACACAUACAAGAUGGAUAGACUUACCUACACAUAAAUAGCAUAUUUACACACGUAGAGUUAAGAAAAGAAAAUGAGAACUGAGCCACUGGAAGAGAACAGUGACGAUAACAACAAAUGAUGCUGUCAGAUACUGUUACAGGGUUAUGUCAAGUAAAAACUGUCUAUAAUAAUUAAUAAUAUGAAAUGUGUAUUUUAUCAGUGGCUCAGUAGCACAACGUUUAGCACUGUUGCCUCACAGUAAGAAGUUUCUGAGACUGACUCCACUAUCUGGCCGGGACCUUUCUGUGUGGAGUUUGCAUCUUCUCCCCUUGUUUGUGUGAGUACUCUUAAGGUACUCCAGCUUCCUCCCACGGUGGAAAAAAAUGAAGUUAGGUUAGGUUAAUUGGUAAUUCUAAAUUGCCCAUUAAUAAGUAUCUGUCUGUCUGUGUUAGUCCUGACAGACUGGCGACCUGUUGAGGGUAUACCCUGCCUCUUCCCCUAUGAUAGCUGGGUUAGGUUCCUCUACCACAGACAGAAUAGAUGAAUGGAUUUUAUCUUUGUCUCUAGUAGUUGAAGUGCUGUGUAUACCCAAAAUUAAUAAAUUACUGUAUUUCAUCACACC
ensembl:lncRNA